ACGAAGGGUGCAAGCGUUACUCGGAAUUACUGGGCGUAAAGGGUGCGUAGGUGGUUUUUUAAGUCUGCUGUGAAAUCCCCGGGCUCAACCUGGGAAUGGCAGUGGAUACUGGAAAGCUGGAGUGCGGUAGAGGGUAGUGGAGUUCCCGGUGUAGCAGUGAAAUGCGUAGAGAUCGGGAGGAACACCAGUGGCGAAGGCGGCUCACUGGACCAUAACUGACGCUGAGGCACGAAAGCUAGGGGAGCAAACAGGA
rnacentral:rRNA from 1 species